CUACGGGGUGCUCCAGUGGGGAAUAUUGGACAAUGGGCGAAAGCCUGAUCCAGCAAUGCCGCGUGUGCGAUGAAGGCCUGAGGGUUGUAAAGCACUUUCGUUGGGAAAGAAAUGCUCAAAGCUAAUACCUUUGAGAGUUGACGUUACCCAAAGAAGAAGCACCGGCUAACUCUGUGCCAGUAGCCGCGGUAAUACAGAGGGUGCAAGCGUUAAUCGGAGUUACUGGGCGUAAAGGGCGCGUAGGCGGAUACUUAAGUCGGAUGUGAAAUCCCUGGGCUCAACCUAGGAACUGCGUUCGAUACUAAGUGCCUAGAGUAUGGUAGAGGAAAGUGGAAUUCCCGGUGUAGUGGUAAAAUACGUAGAUAUCGGGAGGAACAUCAGUGGCGAAGGCGACUUUCUGGGCCAAUACUGACGCUGAGGCGCGAAAGCGUGGGGAGCAAACAGGAUUAGAUACCCCGGUAGUC
rnacentral:rRNA from 1 species